AUUAAACUUAGCCUAAGAAUAUUGUGACUUGUGAGUGAUUAUCAUUGUAGAUAAUAUCUUUGAAACCAAAACUCAACAGCAUGAGAAUGUCUGGUUCAAAUUCUGGCUGGAACAAAUGUGUAAGAUCAAAUCUCUAGCUUACAUCAAUCGAGCUGCAUUACAGAAAAGCUUAUAACACAAAUCUUAUUUGAAAGAAGCCUUCACAAGUCACAACCUUCAUUAGUAGGAUUUAGAAUGUGAGAGGAAAUCUCUAAAU
rnacentral:lncRNA from 1 species